AACAGGAUUAGAUACCCUGGUAGUCCACGCCGUAAACGAUGUCGACUUGGAGGUUGUGCCCUUGAGGCGUGGCUUCCGGAGCUAACGCGUUAAGUCGACCGCCUGGGGAGUACGGCCGCAAGGUUAAAACUCAAAUGAAUUGACGGGGGCCCGCACAAGCGGUGGAGCAUGUGGUUUAAUUCGAUGCAACGCGAAGAACCUUACCUACUCUUGACAUCCACGGAAUUCGGCAGAGAUGCCUUAGUGCCUUCGGGAACCGUGAGACAGGUGCUGCAUGGCUGUCGUCAGCUCGUGUUGUGAAAUGUUGGGUUAAGUCCCGCAACGAGCGCAACCCUUAUCCUUUGUUGCCAGCGAUUCGGUCGGGAACUCAAAGGAGACUGCCGGUGAUAAACCGGAGGAAGGUGGGGAUGACGUCAAGUCAUCAUGGCCCUUACGAGUAGGGCUACACACGUGCUACAAUGGCGCAUACAAAGAGAAGCGACCUCGCGAGAGCAAGUGGACCUCACAAAGUGCGUCGUAGUCCGGAUCGGAGUCUGCAACUCGACUCCGUGAAGUCGGAAUCGCUAGUAAUCGUGGAUCAGAAUGCCACGGUGAAUACGUUCCCGGGCCUUGUACACACCGCCCGUCACACCAUGGGAGUGGGUUGCAAAAGAAGUAGGUAGCUUAACCUUCGGGAGGGCGCUUACCACUUUGUGAUUCAUGACUGGGGUGAAGUCGUAACAAGGUAACC
rnacentral:rRNA from 1 species